rnacentral:rRNA from 1 species
CAAGGCGACGAUCCCUAGCUGGUCUGAGAGGAUGACCAGCCACACUGGAACUGAGACACGGUCCAGACUCCUACGGGAGGCAGCAGUGGGGAAUAUUGCACAAUGGGCGCAAGCCUGAUGCAGCCAUGCCGCGUGUAUGAAGAAGGCCUUCGGGUUGUAAAGUACUUUCAGCGGGGAGGAAGGUGUUGUGGUUAAUAACCGCAGCAAUUGACGUUACCCGCAGAAGAAGCACCGGCUAACUCCGUGCCAGCAGCCGCGGUAAUACGGAGGGUGCAAGCGUUAAUCGGAAUUACUGGGCGUAAAGCGCACGCAGGCGGUCUGUCAAGUCGGAUGUGAAAUCCCCGGGCUCAACCUGGGAACUGCAUUCGAAACUGGCAGGCUUGAGUCUUGUAGAGGGGGGUAGAAUUCCAGGUGUAGCGGUGAAAUGCGUAGAGAUCUGGAGGAAUACCGGUGGCGAAGGCGGCCCC